rnacentral:lncRNA from 1 species
AUGCGCAGAGUAGUGAAAAAGUUGAGUUGCCUGGCGUGCGCAUGCCCAGCUGACGUGGACCAAGGCGCGGGGAGACGCAGCCUUCCUGUUUUAGCUCUUGUUCUGUAAAUGAGUGUUCUUUCCGUGGUUUUUUGGGGUGACGUGUUCAGCAUUUUGGGGCUGUUUGAUGAUUCGCUGAUUGGUAUGGACCCGAAGGGCAGUACUGAAGUGCCAACUGGUGUUCCCGAGUGUGAGAACGCUGUGAUGCGCCCGCAGAGGAAAGUCCUGUGUAGAUCUCAGCUGAAAUGCCAGCUCCUGAUAGAAAGCAUUCCCACUCAAUGCCUUCCUUCAAAAGGAGUACUCUGUACAAAACUUUCAAUUUCCCAGGAGUGCAGAUCCCAAGAUUUUGUGCACAGUGUUAGAAAUAUUACCCUCUGAAUUUGAAGCAAUGGAAGUUAACAUCAAAUGGGAGAGUUAACAUCACCUGGAAGAAAUUAGCCAUCUGAAGCGGUUAAAAAAGAGAACUGGCCCCACAGUCGUUUUAGCUGCUGUUGGCACCCGUGUUUUUCAAGUGGGAGAACUAGCACAUGCCUCUCCUUUUCCUUGGACCUCGUCGUAAAGUGCCUCUGAUGAGAGUGCUGGAAGAGACAAAGGAUGGAACAGUCUCCGCGGCUGCAAAUGCCAUCUGGGAUAGAAUAAGAAGAUGUAGUUAUCAUAAAAGAAGACCAUGUGCAAAUUAAGCAACAUUCAGAACAUUCAUUAAUUCGUCUUUGUUUAGUGUAUAAGAUCAUAUGAUUAAAAUCUGGAGCUUUUACUAGUCAAUCUAGUUUUAAUUUUUGUGUUAUAUUUUAUGUGUGAAUAUUAGAGAACAAUGCCAUAUAUGACUAAAGUAGUUAAAAUAGUUUUUUUCCUACCAACCUAACAGUUUCCUUCAGAAAUGUAUUUAUGAGUCUUAGUGACUCAUAAUAGGAUUUAUGAGUCACUAAGGACUUUAGUGAGUAUUUCAAAUAGUUGGCGACCUUAAUCAAAGUUAGAACAUGAAUACGGUUAAGGUUAACAAAGAUCACCUGAAAGCACAAACAUUUACAGUUUUGUUUUUAUUGAAAUAAAUUAAAUUUGAAUAAUCGAUUUGCUUUGGUUUCCUAUGUAUUUACAACAGCAAUGUAAUUCUGAAUCCGAGAAUCUCUUAUUUGAAGAGAUUUGUUAUUAUUAUUUUUCAAAUUUUAAAUAAAUUGUUUCCAUUAAUAUCCUGAAAUAGCUUUGUUUUGUUCCAAAAUUGGCUUUUUUUAUAUAGUUUGCUUAAACUUUAAUUUUUCUGAAUAUUUUGUCCAAUAUAGCAGCACACAAAUU